GUGCCAGCCGCCGCGGUAAUACGUAGGGGGCGAGCGUUGUUCGGAUUUACUGGGCGUAAAGAGCGCGUAGGCGGCCUGGUAAGUCAGAUGUGAAAGCCCUCGGCUCAACCGAGGAUCCGCGUCUGAGACUGCUGGGCUUGAGGGUAGGAGAGGAGAGCGGAAUUCCCAGUGUAGCGGUGAAAUGCGUAGAUAUUGGGAGGAACACCGGUGGCGAAGGCGGCUCUCUGGACUACUUCUGACGCUGAGGCGCGAAAGCUAGGGGAGCAAACGGGAUUAGAUACCCCUGUAGUCC
rnacentral:rRNA from 1 species